AAGACUAUACUUUCAGGGAUCAUUUCUAUAGUUUCUAACUUGAGAAAUGUGCUCGUGAAGUGAUCAGUCUCGCCAACCACAAUGAUGACAUUUAAUGUUCUCUUCAGAGCGUGAUGCAGGCAGGAAUUAAUGAUGUUCUUCAUGAUUUCUGCCAUUGAUGAUCGUUCUUUACUUUCUGUAAUGGGUAGGAGAACACGAUCAGAGUGGUU
ensembl:snoRNA